AAAGAUAUGGCUCAGUGGUUAAGAGCACUGGCUGCUCUUCCAGAGAUCCUGAGUUCAAUUCCCAGCAACUACA
rnacentral:tRNA from 1 species